AGCCUCCCAAGUAGCUGGGACUGCAGGCAAAUGCCACCAUGCCCGGCUACAUUUUGUAAAUAUUUUUGUAGAGAUUGGAUCUUGCCAUGUUGCCCAGGCUGGUCUUGAACUCCUGGCCUCAAGCAAUCCUCUCACUUCAGCCUCUGAACGCACUAGGAAUACAGGCAUGAACCACUGUGCCCGGCCGGAUUAGUUUCAUUCAACUAUCGAUUCAGCGAACACUUGAACUCUGCUCUGCCAGGUCCUGUGCCAGGCUCAGGGAUACAGGCGUGUGCAAGAGACGCUGGCCUGGACGCCAUGGGGCUCGCAGUCCACUGUGGGAGUUGGAUAAUAAGUGGUCAAGUAGGUGGGCUGCCUUCAGAUGGUGAUCAAUGGCUGGGUGCUGUUUUACAAUUGAGUCCACACUGGAGGCUCCCUGAGGAGGGACUUUGAGGUUUUGUUUUGUUUGCUUGUUUGUUUUUUUGAGACAGUCUUGCUCUGUCACCCAGGCUGGAGUGUAGAGGCCCUAUCUUGACUCACGGCAACCUUCGUCUCCUGGGUCCAAGCGAUUCUCCUGCUGCAGCCUCCCUGAGUAGCUGGGACUAGAGAGAUGCUCAUGUUACAGAUGGUAACAUGGAGGCCGAGCACAAGGGGUUCAGACGUGGAUUGGACGAAUCUGAGGGCCACGCCAUUAGCCACAUACUGAGUGGAGUGGGCGAAAAGGGCCCAGGUUUAGGUCACCGGGAUAACCAGUGUCCAGAGAUGGACGGCACUUACCUGAGGCCACAGAGCAGGUGAGGAUGAGCCCCAGCGGGAGCGAGUAGCCAGGGAGCCGGCCUGCCUCCUGGGCU
rnacentral:lncRNA from 1 species